GACAAACGCUGGCGGCGUGCCUAACACAUGCAAGUCGAACGGGGUUGUUCCUUCGGGGACAACUUAGUGGCGAACGGGUGAGUAACGCGUGAGGAACCUGCCUUUCAGUGGGGGACAACAGUUGGAAACGAUUGCUAAUACCGGAUAAUUUCUUGAUAGGCAUCUAUUAAGAAUAAAAGUUGGGAUACAACACAUUGAGAUGGGCUUAUGGCGCAUUAGUUAGUUGGUGAGGUAACGGCUCACCAAGACGAUGAUGCGUAGCCGACCUGAGAGGGUGACCGGCCACACUGGGACUGAGACACGGCCCAG
rnacentral:rRNA from 1 species